rnacentral:rRNA from 1 species
AAUCAACGCUGGCGGCGUGCCUAACACAUGCAAGUCGCACGAGAAAGGGUAGCAAUACCUGAGUACAGUGGCGCACGGGUGAGUAACACGUGAAUCAUCUACCUCCGAGUGGGGAAUAACCUAGAGAAAUCUGGGCUAAUACCGCAUAACACUUACGAGUCAAAGCAGCAAUGCGCUUGGAGAGGAGUUCGCGGCCGAUUAGCUAGUUGGCGGGGUAAUGGCCCACCAAGGCGAUGAUCGGUAUCCGGCCUGAGAGGGCGCACGGACACA